rnacentral:lncRNA from 1 species
UGACCGGCAGACAUGCUGAAACUCUUGAAAGAACUUUGCUUUGAACUUGCUGGGUUGAUGCGAACAGCUCGUUUUUAUUAUUGACCGGUCAAUAGUUGUUUCAUUGUUAAUGAACAUGACGAUCUGUGGACCGGCACGUGAUACGGUUUUGACCAAUCGGCAAACAGGAAAAUAGAAAUUAAUUUUCCUUGGGAGCCGUACAGACGAACCAUUUUUCCUUGUCCUAAAACUGGCAUGAUAGCUUUGGAACAGGGCUCUUCGGCAAGGAAAAAUUGUCAAUUUUUUCUCGUACACACGAGCAAAUAUAUAAAACUUGUCGAGGAAACAAGAAGAGCCAACAACUAGAACCGUUUGAAAUAUUUAAUUAAUAAAUUAAAUUCUAAUUAAUAAUUUAAGCAGUGAUAAAUAAAAGUAAAUUAUGUAACUGUAAUUUAACUUAAAAAUAGACGAUAAAUAAUUUAGCUAGC